UACGUAGGGCGCAAGCGUUGUCCGGAAUUAUUGGGCGUAAAGAGCUCGUAGGCGGUCUGUCGCGUCUGCUGUGAAAUCCCGAGGCUCAACCUCGGGCUUGCAGUGGGUACGGGCAGACUAGAGUGCGGUAGGGGAGAAUGGAAUUCCUGGUGUAGCGGUGGAAUGCGCAGAUAUCAGGAGGAACACCGAUGGCGAAGGCAGUUCUCUGGCCGUAACUGACGCUGAGGAGCGAAAGCGUGGGGAGCGAACAGGAUUAGAUACCC
rnacentral:rRNA from 1 species